rnacentral:rRNA from 1 species
CCUACGGGUGGCAGCAGUGAGGAAUAUUGGUCAAUGGGCGCGAGCCUGAACCAGCCAAGUAGCGUGAAGGAUGACUGCCCUACGGGUUGUAAACUUCUUUUAUAAAGGAAUAAAGUGAGGCACGUGUGCCUUUUUGUAUGUACUUUAUGCAUAAGGAUCGGCUAACUCCGUGCCAGCAGCCGCGGUAAUACGGAGGAUCCGAGCGUUAUCCGUGUUUAUUGGGUUUAAAGGGCGCGUAGAUGGGGUGUUAAGUCAGUUGUGAACGUUUGCGGCUCAACCGUAAAAUUGCAAUUGAUACUGGCAGUCUUGAGUACAGUUGAGGUAGGCGGAAUUCGUGGUGUAGCGGUGAAAUGCUUAGAUCUCACGAAGAACUCCGAUUGCGAAGGCAGCUUACUAAACUGCCACUGACAUUGAUGCUCGAAAGUGUGGGUAUCAAACAGGAUUAGAUACCCUGGUAGUC